AUUUUUCAUGCAGCCAUUUGCACUCCACCCAUUUACUUGUUUGUAUGUGCUCUUCUGUGUGUUCCAUUUUCUUCUCAACAAACCCUCGGUUCACAAAUGGGGGAGCAGGAAUUUUGUUUCUAUCUGAAAACCUGUUAAAUAUACAAAGAGGAAAGGCAGCUGGAAAAUUCUGUGAACUCAAAGGACACGCAUGUUUUUCUUUUACUGAGUGGGCAAAUAUAAUGAGACCUUUCUCUUUAUUUUUAA